AAGUCCUUGAGUCUCUCAAGAGAUGCCUUAACACCAGGAUAGAUGUUACAAGAUUAGUCUGCAGUGAAGCUAUGGCAAUGAUUAUGAAAACAGGAGUUGCCAGUCACAAACCUGAUGCGUGGCAGCAACCAUCUUAUAGCCGUGGGGCAG